UCUACGGGACGCAGCAGUAGGGAAUAUUGGUCAAUGGAUGCAAGUCUGAACCAGCCAUGCCGCGUGCAGGAAGAAGGCCUUCUGGGUUGUAAACUGCUUUUGUCAGGGGAUAAAAUGGGAGUGCGCUCCUAAUUGAAGGUACCUGGCGAAUAAGCCACGGCUAACUACGUGCCAGCAGCCGCGGUAAUA
rnacentral:rRNA from 1 species